UGUGGAACUGUUAGUGAUUGUGCAGAAAACUACUUGUAAUCAAUCGCAUGGCUGGUGGCCUUCCACUGUACAAAAGGGAUGUGUCUCUGUAGCCACGAUACUCAAACUGGAGCAAUGUGCAGCGAUGGUUCCGUUGCUUCUUGCCUCCAGGCUCAUGGUACCCGGUGUCAAGAUAACGGUCUAAACUGGCACUGCGUUGAUGGUGUCUGUCAUUGUAGAAGACAUUAAAAAAACUUUCACCUGAAAGUUAUCAGUAUAAAAAAAGAAUAAAACAAAUGAUAACUGUG